AAAGAAGGUCCUACCGGGAGUCGAACCCAGGUCGCUGGAUUCAAAGUCCAAAGUGCUAACCACUACACCAUAGAACCUGUUAUGAUAUUGUUUCUGCUAAAACCCUAAUAAAAGUUUCACUUUCUCUCUCGCCUUAAUAAGGGCGAAAACUGAGUAAUCCCUCAACAUAAGCACUCCGCCGUCACCGGUGGCCUGGAGGAAACUGAGUAAUCGCUCUGCUUCUCUUCUUAAGCCCCUUAUAUUUUCGCCUCAAUGCAUUCCUAUAUGUACAUAUAUGCAUCCUUUACUCAUCUACAAAUUGAUUUAGUACCAAUUUAUUAGUGUCUCUCUAUGAGGUUUGUACAGAGUAAUUGGCAAUCAUCGUGACCAGUGUGUCUCUAAUUGCUUCUAAAAUCUGGAGAUCUUGUCAUAAAUAGUUUGGUAAUCUUCUUGGUUGAGAUGAACAUCUUGGAGAUUUUUGUAUGCAUAAUGUAUCCUGAAAAAUUUAUUACUGUUUUUUGCUGCCAACAGAGUUAAUAAGAGCCCUUUGUUAGUGACUGCUGCUCGCUGGAACUUUUGUAAUAAAUGAAGCAAAUAUUGUUGUGGUAUCUUGAGAGUAGCAGGAUUUUAGGCAAUGAGGUGAAAAACUAGUUAAGAUAAUUGGGCAAUGUUUGGUGUAAACAAACAGGCAAACAGUGCAUCAGGAAAAAGGAUAACUGAGUGGUUUUUUUAGCUGAUCGAUCAAUCUAACAGGAAAUGAUGCAAGAUAAGUGUUGAAUAUAAAUAUUAAAAUCACCUUUCUCUGACAGCUUAAGCUAUUGGCGAACAAUGAUUGUUUUAUAUAGUCUAAUAUGGUAUCAGAGCAGGAGAUUUUGAGGCCGAGUUGCGCCAGGCUCCUGACUUAAUUUAAUUUUCUCCAAUUUAAUUCAUGUCCAUGUCUUGAGCCGGUUAAAAAGACUCGAGCCUAGUGAGAGUGUUGAUUAUACAUAUUGGAGAACAAUGAUUAUUUCAUAUAAUUUAACAUUUAGCCCUGUAUUCAGUAUACAUAUUGCAAAUCAAAUUAACCAUAUGGCCACUGUACAAAUAGCAUUUUUCUAUUACUAAACUAUGACGGUAAGCUCUUUGUUAUUCAGUGAUGAAUGGUAUCUUUGAAAAGAUAAGAAAAGAAAAGAAAUGUGAAAUCUAUCCUGGAUGAAUCAUUGAAGGGAAAUGCUGAUAUCCGAUGUCUUUUGAUGCUGCAUUCGCUUUGUUAAUAAACCACAAUGCAUUUCUAUUUUUCAGUACUAUUCGUAAGGCCUUUUAGAUAGCAAGAUCUAUCAGUUGAAUAGAGACCUAAAUAUUUUGAUAUAGGUAUGUACUUGUAAUCGUAUAAAUUAUCUUUUAAUUAGCUGAUGAGAGACUUAAUAUGGGUUAAUGCGAUUUCUCUUUUAAAUUCGAAUCCCAUCAAUCCUUACGCAAUCAUCAGAUUUAAGGAAGGCAUGAAGGGAACUGUUAAAUGAGGUUUAUCUUGUAUUUCUCCCUUUUCUUUUUCUUGUAGUGUUGGAAGUAUGUUAUGAUUAUCCCAAGCAAGGCAAAUGCAGCUUUUAUGAAAUUGUCUCUUGCUAUAUACUCUUAUGCCUAUAAGAAAUAAUCUCUUGCUAUGAUCUUUUCUUCAUACUCUAUCUCUUUUUUUUGUGUGGUGGUCUUCAUAUUCUCUCCUCAUAAACUAGGGAACAUUUUAACACUAUCUUAUUCAAUUUUUGUGCCGAAGUCUUGCGAUUUUCUUAUACUCUGCUUAAUCUUGUAAUUACUGAUUGUGACCUUUUGUUAAUGAGAUGAUUUAGAACGUCACCUUCCAACUGAUGCUGAUUAAAUGGCUAACUGUAAAUUUUUGGUUGACAUUGGUUCCUGAACUGCUAUGUUGAGAGCUGAACUACCACUGAGGUCAUCAUGUUAACAACCUCCACUUCAUGGCCUGUGUCCUGGAGAACCCACAGAAACUGCCUGUUGUUUUCUGUUAGUUGAACACUCUCUGUGGAGUUUAUUUGGAAAUGAGCUGGAGCUAGUCUUUGCUAGCUACUCUGAUUUUCUUCUUGCCAUAGAUCUCGUUUUGAUUGGUGAUUCAAGGGCUUUGACGAGCAACUUAAUAUAGUAAUGAUCGCGCGACAGAAAGCAAAAUUAAAUAUACGGAGAGUUGUCAAGAAUCUGGAGUAGUUGCAGAACAUAUAUCCAAGAUUUGGAGGCUCCAAAUCUCCCUUAAGGUCAAAGUGUUCUGUUGGCUAGUCCUUAAAAAGAGACCUCUUACAGCUGAUGACCUCGUGAAGAAAGGCUGGACUGGAGACUCAGUCUGCGUGCUGUGCAGGGUAUACGAGGAGACAGUGGACCACCUAUUCUCUCAAUGCGUCUUUACCAAAUUCUAUAUGGUGAUGAUUAGGGAGGGAGUUCAGGCUGGAGAGUUAGGAGAAGACGUACGUUACGUCUGGGAUAGGUGGUUGGCCAAGAAAGGGGCGCAUAAUAAGCAGAAUAGCGUACCUGAAUUGGUCGCUUGCUGGUGGACGAUUUGGAAGGUAAGGAACGAUAUGAUUUUUUGAAAUAUUCAUGUUGACCCUAUUUUGGUUGUACAAAGAAUUAAGCAGCUUCUGAAGUUCUGGGAACCCCUCAUACGACCGAAUCAUUUAGCAGCUUCUAAAGUUCUGUUGUUCUAAAGUUUUUUUUUUUUUUUUUUUAAUUGUUGUUUCUUUUCUUGAGGCCCUGGUUGCCUCAAUCCUGUAGCCUAGUUCAUACAUUCAAUGAAUAAAGCAGGUAGCGUGCUACCUUUUCUCAAAA